AGAUGAAGAUCUGCCUCAAGUUAAACCAUUUGCAUGUGUUCGAAAUGGAAGAUACUCCCUUCUAAACAUUGAAUUCAUAAUGUGCAUUAAAGAUUUAAAAGUUGAUAAGUUUAUCUCCAAGAAGAUUUUCGAUGAAGGAUCUUGGGAGAAAUCCGAAGUUGAACUGGUUCUUAGACUUCCUAGCUAUUAUCCUCAAGCCACUCUAUUGGAUAUAGGAUCUAAUAUUGGUUCCUUCGGUCUUGCGGCAGCUACUGCUAAUUACAAAGUUGUGUCUGUUGACCCCUCAACCUUAAAUCUUGGAUAUCAAAG